AUUGAACGCUGGCGGCAGGCCUAACACAUGCAAGUCGAACGAGUGGCGGACGGGUGAGUAAUGCUUGGGAAACUGGCUUAUGGAGGGGGAUAACUACGGGAAACUGUAGCUAAUACCGCGUACCAUACGAUGCGCCCAUGUGGGAUUAGGUAGUUGGUGGGGUAAAGGCUAACCAAGGCGACGAUCCCUAGCUGGUCUGAGAGGAUGACCAGCCACACUGGAACUGAGACACGGCCCAGACUCCUACGGGAGGCAGCAGUGGGGAAUAUUGCGCAAUGGGGGCAACCCUGACGCAGCCAUGCCGCGUGUAUGAAGAAGGCCUUCGGGUUGUAAAGUACUUUCAGUCGGGAGGCGUUACCGACAGAAGAAGCACCGGCUAACUCCGUGCCAGCCGCCGCGGUAAUAC
rnacentral:rRNA from 1 species